rnacentral:rRNA from 1 species
AGAUUGAACGCUAGCGGGAUGCUUUACACAUGCAAGUCGAACGGUAGCGCGGACUUCGGUCUGGCGGCGAGUGGCGAACGGGUGAGUAAUAUAUCGGAACGUGCCCAGUAGCGGGGGAUAACUACGCGAAAGCGUGGCUAAUACCGCAUACGCCCUACGGGGGAAAGGGGGGAUUCUUCGACACCUCUC